CACAAUUCAAAUAAGUCGCAGUUCUAUUUCAGAUUUCUAAACGAAAAGGUUAAUUUAUAAUUUAUAGAUGGGUCUUCGCAUAAAUAUUUUGGCUAUACUUUUGCUUUUUGUCAUAAAAAAGGAUUUGAAUAAACAGUUCGCAAAUCCUUCAGACUUUUAGAAACCAUGUCUAUAUUAUAAACAGAGCCGUUGCAAAAUCUUUAAAUUAAGGAUGAAAAUAAAAUUCGCAAUGCAAUAAAUUGAUUUGUCUCACUCUUCUUCUUCUUUUCAUAAUAGUUUUUAGCUUUCAUUACACGAAAUCUUAGUGUUCAAAUGGCAACUCAUACAAUUUUACUCUAUUUUAUAGUUAUAAUUUGUUUUCCUAUUUGUUUUACAUGGGAAUCGAUGCCAGAAAUGGAAGAAAGUAAACAAAUUUUUAAAAAUAUGCCUCAAAAGAUGUCCAAAAAAUUUACAAAUUUUGAGCGUCAUUUUAAGCAAAUGCCAACAGCUGAUAAAAAUAGAAAAGUUUUUGA